rnacentral:rRNA from 1 species
UGGGGAAUUUUGGACAAUGGACGCAAGUCUGAUCCAGCCAUGCCGCGUGCGGGAAGAAGGCCUUCGGGUUGUAAACCGCUUUUGUCAGGGAAGAAACGAGUUUCUCUAAUACAGAGACUUAAUGACGGUACCUGAAGAAUAAGCACCGGCUAACUACGUGCCAGCAGCCGCGGUAAUACGUAGGGUGCAAGCGUUAAUCGGAAUUACUGGGCGUAAAGCGUGCGCAGGCGGUUAUGCAAGACAGAUGUGAAAUCCCCGGGCUCAACCUGGGAACUGCCUUUGUGACUGCAUAGCUAGAGUACGGUAGAGGGGGAUGGAAUCCGCGUGUAGCAGUGAAAUGCGUAGAUAUGCGGAGGAACACCGAUGGCGAAGGCAAUCCCCUGGACCUGUACUGACGCUCAUGCACGAAAGCGUGGGGAGCAAACA